AGCCUCCACAGUUUCAGCCUGCUGAUCCCAGUACCAGAUAUUUCCCAUCAGAGCCCACACCGCUCCUGUCCCAGAGCUGCACAGCGAGCCAGCAAACCAGGAGGGUGCAGCAGGAGAAAGGUCCAGUGGAGCCGGGAAAUGCCAAGGUCUAUGGAUUGCAUAAAGUACUCCAGCUAUUCCAGCACUCGCUCUCAGAAACACAUCGUUGCAAAGGACAAUUCCCAUGCCUCUGCCCCUGCAGGAAGGGACGGCACAGGCUGGGGCAGCCCGAGCUGGUGGACGUUCCUCACCGUGCAUCGUGUAUAUGGGG
rnacentral:lncRNA from 1 species